GCAAAUCCCAUGAAAGAACCCUGAUGCAAACAUCCAGAACCAGAGGAAAGGAGGCUAAUUAAGCUUCCUGGCCACCAUGAGACCAAUUUCUUCUCCAUACUCUUGCUGUGAUGUACUGCUGCACCACAGACCCAAAAGCUAUGGAGGCUUUUCUGCACUUGUGCUAUGGAAAUGCAACUUAAGCACCUUGGAGCAGAUUCAGCUUAUCCAGCUGUGAGUCAGGAGCUUGGACCCAUGUACAAGGCAUUGCCAUAGUCUGUCUGCCUGCCCUCUCCUUCCCAGAAAGAUCAUGUUCCUGAGCGAAAGGAUCAUUGCAGGCGGGCACACGGGUCCACUCUGUUUGAGUUCCCAGAGUUGAAGAGGUAGCAGGCCUACCUGCAGCACCCAGUGUGGAGAGGAGCAGCUAUUUACUUUCCCAAAGGUUCUUUGCUGUGUUUGGGGCAUUGGUCUGGAACCAUCAUGCUUCAUCCAUUCUCCCCUUCUGGGUGACUCGGGAGCUCCCCAGUGAAACCCCUUUCCUCUUUAGCCAGGGAACUCCUACACUCCAUGU